rnacentral:RNase_P_RNA from 1 species
AGUCGGCCGGGCAAUCGCUGCCGUGCACGCGUGUCUUAGACAUACGGUCACUGGGGGAGGAAAGUCCGAGCUCCGCAGGACAGGGUGCCAGGUAACGCCUGGAGAGCGCAAGCUCAUGACUAGUGCAACAGAGAGCAGACCGCCUAAGUGUGAAAACACUGGUAAGGGUGAAAGGGUGCGGUAAGAGCGCACCGCUUUCUUAGUAAUAAGAAAGGCAUGGUAAACUCCACCCGGAGCAAGAUCGAAUAGGUCUCCUUAUGAUGUGGUCCGCAUCGGAGACGGGUUGAUUGCUGGAACCGGUGAGUGAUUGCCGGUCUAGAGGAAUGAUUGCCACUGCAAUAAAAGCAGUACAGAACUCGGCUUACAGGCCGACUCAU